rnacentral:tmRNA from 1 species
GGGGAUGUAAAGGUCUCGACGGGGGUGUAGACGCAGGACAAGCGAGCCGUGGUCGCCGAGUCCACGUAAAAAGCGGCAAACGUUUACAAUAAACGGCAAAAACAAAACCAAUUUCGCACUGGCGGCCUAAUCCGCCCCGCGACGUCGGCCCGGACUCACCUGCAGGACCGGUCACCGGCGCCAAAUAUGCAGGAAAACCCUAUGUGAUUUCUCGGUAGCAUAGGGGACUCACGAGAUAGCCGAACCCACGCUGCGCCUGUGACGCGCGGGUGAGGCGAAACAAACCAUCGCAGGCUGCGCUCGGAGAAAGUCCUGGCAGAAGCGCUUUCGGACGCGGGUUCAAUUCCCGCCAUCUCCACCA